GCCCAGGCACCACUAUUGCACAUUUACUGUUCCUUAUGAACAAGGAAAUGACGUCUUUGCCCUCUGCCCCUUUGUUGAAUUGCCCAAUUUCCCUAGGGUAGUUUUGUCUUUUUAGUCUUUAACGUGUGGCUUGUUCUUGGUUUUCCUUUUGUCGUCCUCUUUGGCCCCUUCUUUCUCUUUCCUGUUUUUCUCAUUUCCCUCAAUCUUUUCUCAUUUUUCCUUAAGCUUCUUCCUCAAAUCGCCAAAAAUGGCAUCAAUCACCGUUCCGUUUCCCUCUUUCCAUGGCUAACGCUAGGGUUUUUAGUUCAUCGAAGUAGUUUUCGAGCUUUCCCUUAGCCAUUGAAGCGGUUACUCAAGUACUUCAGAAGAAAAUCAAAAACUCCAUUCGGUAUGGUGGUGCGAGAGAGGGAGAUUCGUGGGUAUGGGGUUCAUCAAUUUGUCUUACAUCGCCGUUAAUGCCGCUGUCCUGGUUCUCCUCUUCUUCUUAAUUGUGUAAAAGAGGGAAAUAAAUUGUAUUAAUGUUUACAAUUUAUUCGAAAUGGCCACUAUCUUAUUGCUACUGCAGUUCUUCGUAUUGAUGGAAGUGUUUGGGCUGGUUGAAUUUUUUGCUUUGCGUUUUUUUUUUUUAUUUAAUUUGGGUUUAAUUUUAUGUGGGCAUGAUUGUUUUUUUAUUGUGAGAGAAUCAUCAAUUUUUAGUACACUGAGCUAUUACGUAUGCAAUACCAUAAUUUACAAGCUUGAAAUUGUUGGAACAACAAGUGUGUAGUGUCUGAAUUUUGUGAAAAAACUCAAAGUCCCACAUUGGUGGGAAAUGAGAGUUUUACUCUCUUUAUAAUAUAGAGAGUGGGCUAAAGGGGUGUGGCCCUUGGGCUACCCACAUUUUGUGGAGAGGGAGGACCUAUAUGGUAAACCAUAUAUCACACACACGCGCGCCGAACCGAGCCGGGUCGGGUUUGGGUUAUUAAACAAACUUAAUUUUUGUUACCGGUUUGAUUAAUAUUCAGUUACAAAACGUUUUACUGUUUUGGUUUAAACUUUUCCGUUACAUUGCUUGAUUCUCGUUGCUGUUUUACUGCUAACCGUUACACUGAUUUAAUGCCUUGAUUCUUGCUUACCGGAUACACUAAUUGCAGUAAACGUUGCUAAUCUUUCUCCCGUUUUCAUGCUUAAGCUGUUACGUAUCUUUACCUAUAAAAGGACGGUUCCAACUUUGUUUUUAUACACACGAAAAAAUACAAAAAACCACUUUGCAAAAUAUAUUUUCUCUCCCUCUCAAAACAGUCGAGCGGUUUCUUUCUGAUUUUCUGGUGUUCCGUUGUCCGCUGGUUCGGUGCAAAACCGCCGGUAUUUUAUACUUGUGAAAGACUGUUUUAUCCUGGGGGCAUCCGGUUUGGUACGAGCUGCUUGCACAAGUUUGAGGCAGUGCCGCGAAUGUUCUAAAGAGAGCGACAUAGUCCGCGACUCAGUCUUAUUCUCGGUAACAUUGUUCUUACUAUUUUAUUUGUGCAAUUCCGUUUAUAACAGAAAUGUACUAGUACCUUUCAGUGGCAUAGCAAAUAUGUUUGCUUGAUUGCUCGAAUUUCGAUAUGUCUUGGAGAUAAGUGAUGCAAUCUAAGGUUGAUAUAAUAUGACAUAGGAUGUUUGUCAUUUAACUAACAAUGUCUUUUUUUUAGCUAAUCUACUUGUGCUAUGCAUAAAUUGCCUUUGCUAACUCAUAACCUUAUUCUGAGAGUUGCUAUUCCAGCCGAGUUUGAGGUAUGAAAUUGAAUUAGUUUUUCCCUAUUCAUCUAAUUCACACGAUAUAGCCUCGAAAAUUACAAGAUUAUGAGCCUAAUUUGAUAGUUGAAUCAAAAUUUUCUUGUUAAAGUUGCUAUUUUUAUUGUUUAGCACCCUUGUUUUUCUCUGUAAAUCCUUCCCCCAUAUAUAAUUGAGUGAUUUUUUGGAUUUAAUCAAGCAUUUAGUGUUGGGCCACCUUUGAUUAUUUUUAUACUGGUGUAUUUGAUUGGUAUUGUUUAACCUUGUAGUUUGUAUUUUGUGAUCAAUAUGGAGCUUACCUUUAAAUCUUGCAAGCAUCAGGUAGGUGUAUUAUUUAUUUUUGUCCAUUAUUAAUGUACGAAUUUUCUACAAAAUUUGUCACGCUAAUUGAUAAUUAAUUAACUUGUGGCGUUGUUUACCUAUCUUGUUCUUUAAAUUUAAUCCCUACUCUAAAAUCAAAGAUAAACUGUUACUUCCCGAACAAAUAUCAGGUUCGAUAAAUUUGAUAAUUUUUAUUCAAUUAUCAAAUUGGUCUUAUUCCAAGAUUUUUCUUGGCGCUGCUAUCUCCGAUAUGCCAAAGGUACAAGAUUGAGUUCUAUGUCAGAUUUAUGUGGUCGUUUAUCUAUUUAUUACGUACCAAAUUGUCAAAUAUGUGGUCUUAAAGACUUAUGUUUUUGUCAUACCAAAUUGUCAAAUUGAGUUCUCUGAGGGAUUGUCGGAUUCCAGAAAAAGGUAAUCAUCAUAUUUUACUUGACUGCUUGCUGCAAUGGGGUUGCACAGUUUUUCUUUGAGUAUCUUUGUGGAAGACCAAAACAUUAAAUUUGUGCAUUGUCAACUACCUUUGCUUUUGGAGUAGUUUAUAUUUAAUACCAACAUUUGUUGUUUUUAUUGUUGUUAGGUUGGGGCUGCACACUAUAUUGCAUUUGCUGAAAAUUACAGCACAAUCUUUAAAUCUGACAUAUAUACCGACAAUGAGCAUGCGUAUCAAGGACUAGAUCUGACAGCAAAUCAUGGAACAGUGGACAUCCUUGCUAACAAGGUCUGUUCUUGGUCUAUUGGCGGAAUACCAAAGGACAAAGCCCCUUAUUUGACAAGAACAUUAAUGCUUGAAGCAGGAUUUGAAAAGCUUCAUGUAUUCCCAACUUUUGUAGGUAGCAGAGUUCCGCAUCAUGGGUAUUGCUCUUUCUGGCCUGAAAAUAGAUAAGCUUGAAGUGUCAAAUGUAGAGAAUCGGCCUUUCAAGGGUUUCAAAGCUCUAACUCGUGCAUGGGAGUAUCAAGUGAGGUCAUAAAGUUAAAAGGCUCUAGAUAUGAGCCCCGAGACCUUGGGAAAAGACUGUGCAAAGAACAUCUGCCUUCUUGAAGCUUUGCAGAAAACAGGGUCUUUCCUCCUCAUAUCUCAUCUCAAUCAUUCAUUGGACCUUGGUGCUAGGAAUUGCAUGAUGUCUGAUUUUCAAUUUGUGUGAGCCAUCUUUAGAGCUUUUGGGUGUGUCAGUUGAUUUAUUUAUUUUAUUAUGAGAUACUUGUAUCAUGUAUGUAUACUUCAAAAGGAAAUAGAGAUUUAUAGAGGUUGAAAAGUUCAAGUUCUGGCUUUUUUA